rnacentral:lncRNA from 1 species
AAGCGUUUGGUAGGCUAUCAAUAACAGCUCUUAAUUUCUUAAAAUCCUCUUAAACUUCCAGACCUAAACUUAUAUCUGAAUAAACAAAAUACGCGCCUUCCCUGUAUUGCCCUCAUAUCUCAUAUGAACGCAACUCACCUUUAUCAGAUCCUCUCAUGUCUCCUCUCACCUCACACCUCCGACCAACUCCAACGCCAACCACCUCCUUCCAUCACCGAACACCUCAUCCCAUCGUCGGCCACCUAUUCCCAUCGUCGACUCGCACAGCACCGUCACCCCAUCGUAAACCUCGCACACCUACAAGUUUCACACGACUUCUGAUAUCACUUCCACCUCCAUGAAAUCGACUCCCAUCUCCAAACUACGACCUCCGACGCCAAGCUCCGACAUCGCUGGUUCUACCCUCGAAAGCGUCGCCCUCUCCAGGUUCCGCCCUCGACAACGUCGGUCUCUACCAGGGGAUCUCCAAUCUCCUUCGUUGGUCCGGUACAAAGGUGCUAAAAUCACUCCAAAUUCGAGAAAUCGAAUUGUUUUCAUGAUGUGAAAUCGAAAAUCGAUUUAAUAUACCAAGUUUUUAAAUGUUCAUAUUUUAGGUUUUCUGUGAUGUUUUGAAUCAGUGGUGAAACAUAGUAUCAUUCAAAAUUAGUUAUUUAUUUAUAGUUUUGUGGUAUAAUAAUGAUUAUUAUUAUCAUAAACUGAUGUAUUGUUUCCAAAUUUGUUAUUGAUUUAGAGCAUUGUGUGAUUUUUGAUGGUCAAGAUGAUGAUGGAUGAAGGCUGUGAUUUUUUUUGGUCAAAAUUGUUCCUUUUCUAUUUCUCAUAUGAGCAAUUGGAACUUUAGGCAUUGAUGUUUGACUUUAAGCAAUUGGAACUUCAGAUGAAACUAAUAUUGAAUGUUCCUUUUCUAUCUCUUCUAAAAAGAUAUAUAAGAUUGUAUUUGUAUGAAACUAAUGUUGAAUGUUCCAUGUUUAUGCACUGGGAUAUUGUUCGACAAGAAAGGUUCAGGACAAUCACCGGUAGCUAACCACAUAUCAUUGAUUUGGAGCACCAAGAAUGAAUGGAAUGAUUUCAAUUUUCUGAUUUAUUCAAAGUUUUCUUUGUGUUCUCUUAGAUAAGGGUGUUAUACUUGUCAAGAUGUGUAAAUGAAUGUGGUUGUAUACAUGUAAUGUGAUCCAUAUAAACAUAGAGUUCAAGUUGUUUUCAUAGCUAUUGUAAGGUUGUUUUUGUACGGUUUAAAUACAAGAAAUAGCAAUGUAGUUUUAUUUAUUUAUUUAUUAUAGCAUCAUACUUUUACCUCUUUAUAUUAGAGCAUUGUUUGAUUUGAUUUUUGUCAAAUAUAUACGUUUGAUUUGAUUUUUUUUCUAAUUUGGAUUUUUGUAUU